UUGAAAGGGAAACGAUUGAAGUCAGUCGUGCUGGCGCGAAAUCAACCUUCUCGUCUUGAGAUCACAUGGCGUGGCGAGCCUCAAAACCGUCACGAAGCGUGAACUCUUGGUGAAAUGGAGCACUUUCGUGUCCGCUGGUUAACAUCAAUUUCGGACGUCAUAAAAAGGCUGGAGGGAUGUGGCUCCUUCGGGAGUGUUAUAACCUUUAGCGGAAUGUGGUGUUCGGGAUUGAGGAUUGCAACGAAUACCUUUAGGGCUGUUCCACCUGGCUUCUCUUUGGUAUCCUGGUGACGACAGCUUGCUGACGUCGUUAGGAUUCGCCUUUGAACAGGCUAGAGUGUGAGCAAAUUCGUUAAGGAUGUUGACGUA
rnacentral:rRNA from 1 species